AAUAGAUACCCGGGUAGUCCAUGCCGUAAACGUUGGGCACUAGGUGUGUGGGACAUUCCACGUUUUCCGCGCCGUAGCUAACGCAUUAAGUGCCCCGCCUGGGGAGUACGGCCGCAAGGCUAAAACUCAAAGGAAUUGACGGGGGCCCGCACAAGCGGCGGAGCAUGCGGAUUAAUUCGAUGCAACGCGAAGAACCUUACCAAGGCUUGACAUGAACCGGACCGCUGCAGAAAUGUGGUUUCCCCUUUGGGGCUGGUUUACAGGUGGUGCAUGGUUGUCGUCAGCUCGUGUCGUGAGAUGUUGGGUUAAGUCCCGCAACGAGCGCAACCCUCGUUCUAUGUUGCCAGCACGUGAUGGUGGGGACUCAUAGGAGACUGCCGGGGUCAACUCGGAGGAAGGUGGGGACGACGUCAAAGUCAUCAUGCCCCUUAUGUCUUGGGCUUCACGCAUGCUACAAUGGCCGGUACAAAGGGUUGCGAUACUGUGAGGUGGAGCUAAUCCCAAAAAGCCGGUCUCAGUUCGGAUUGGGGUCUGCAACUCGACCCC
rnacentral:rRNA from 1 species